CCGGAGGCUGCUCCAUAUAAAUAUCUGCUUUGAGGUCUCCAAGAAGAAAUGUAGUUUCCACAUCUAUGUGAUCUACCUGCAUUUUCUUUGCUGCUGCAGUGCUUAGGAGUGUCCUUACUGAGCUUCUUUCCAGUUUUGUGCUUCAGUUGCAGAUGAAGAUGCUCCUCAAGAGUCAUGGACUUGGCAGUGUUCUGCGCACCCAGCAUCCUGCAGAUGCAGGAAAGGAGCAGAAAGAAUGGGACAGAGCAGAUGAAAAGGCAUCAGGAAUGAUUUGCUUGG